AUUGAACGCUGGCGGCAGGCCUAACACAUGCAAGUCGAACGGUAGCACAGAGAGCUUGCUCUCGGGUGACGAGUGGCGGACGGGUGAGUAAUGUCUGGGAAACUGCCCGAUGGAGGGGGAUAACUACUGGAAACGGUAGCUAAUACCGCAUAAUGUCGCAAGACCAAAGAGGGGGACCUUCGGGCCUCUUGCCAUCGGAUGUGCCCAGAUGGGAUUAGCUAGUUGGUGAGGUAAUGGCUCACCAAGGCGACGAUCCCUAGCUGGUCUGAGAGGAUGACCAGCCACACUGAAACAGAGACACGGUACAGACCCCUAGGGGGGGGAGCAGGGGGGAAUUUUGCAAAGGGGGCGAAAGCCUGAUGCAGCCAUGGCGGGUGUAUGAAGAAGGCUUUCGGGUUGUAAAGUACUUUCAGGGGGGGGGAAGGAAAUGGGGUUAAAAACCGUGUUGUUUGACGUUACCCGAAGAAGAAGCACCGGCUAACCCCGU
rnacentral:rRNA from 1 species